rnacentral:rRNA from 1 species
UGAAGCCUGCGGUUCAAUUGGAGUCAACGCCAGAAAUCUUACCCGGAGAGACAGCAGAAUGAAGGUCAAGCUGAAGACUUUACCAGACAAGCUGAGAGGUGGUGCAUGGCCGUCGCCAGCUCGUGCCGUGAGAUGUCCUGUUAAGUCAGGUAACGAGCGAGAUCCCUGCCACUAGUUGCUAUCAUUAUUCUCAGUAAUAGUGGGGCGAAUUAGUGGGACUGCCGUUGUUAAAACGGAGGAAGGAAGGGGCUACGGCAGGUCAGUAUGCCCCGAAACUCUGGGGCCACACGCGGGCUGCAAUGGUAGUGACAAUGAGUUCCAAACUCGAAAGAGAGUGGCAAUCUCUAAACGCUUCCACAGUUAUGACUGAGGGCUGUAACUCGCCCUCACGAAUAUGGAAUCCCUAGUAACCGCGUGUCAUUACCGCGCGGUGAAUACGUCCCUGCUCCUUGCACACACUGCCCGUCACGUGCACCCGAAUGAGGAGGGGGUGAGGCUGGGUCGUGGUACUGGGCAAGUCCCUUCUUGAAGCCGAUGACAACGUC